GAUGUAUAUGAUAUGCCCAGCUACCGUGUGAAAUGGUUUUCUUCUUUUAUAUGGAUUUUUUUUUAUUUAAGAUGAAAAAUUAAUUGAACAGCGGAUCCUCCUGCUUCUACAGCUGCUGUAAGUAUUGAAAUUCAAUUUCAUUACUAAAAAGUACAUGUUCCAUUUCACUUUUUAAAUGUCAUAUUUAUUUUUCUAAUGAACUUUAAUUUUAGUCCCUUAAGGAGCAUGAUUGUACUGAGAGCCAGACGAAGUCCUGCAUUUCCCUUUGAAUUUCAGACAUUAGUGAGAAUGUAUUAGAUUUAUUGGUCCUUUUGAUUAACCUCGAAGGAGACAAGACCACUAAGUAACAGCCUCUGGAAGCUGUAUUGUUUUGGUGUAUGAUAUCCAGUUUUGUGGUCUCAGCUCCUUGUAUCUCCUGUAUUGUUCAGACUUCACUUCAUCUUGGUUCCUUUAACCAUGUCAGUGCUGACUAUUCCAGAUUUGAACCAUCUCCUGCAUCUUGCUACACACAGCUCCGCUUUGAACCAGCUUCAAAAAUACAACUAUUCUUAAUCCUAACCAACUUGUGCACAUGCUCAGUUUUGCUAAGCAAAUAAAUCCCUGGAACUGAUCACAUCUGUAAAACAACUCAUGUUCCUCAAUCUUUGGGACAUGUGAGCAUAAGGGUAUACCCACUCGUCAGCCUCUGUCAGAGGUACCAGAACCACUGCCUUUUCCAAAGACAUCAUGAGACACCUGAGGCCAUCUACCAUUUUCUUCGCAUUCCUUUUCCAUAUAUUCAGGACCAGCAGUCACCUUCACUUUGUUGUGGGUUUUCUUCCCCCUCUUUAAGCCCAGAGUUACUGCAUGUUCCUUUUCAAAAAGGCAAAAAUUACUUAAAAUUCUUCCGUGUUACUUAGAAAUUCAUUCAACUGGAUUAGAACUCAGAGCUGAGAAUUGAGAGCUGAGAUUUUCAUGUCCCACAUAAGAAAUAGUGAGAUCAGCUCUCAGUGGAAAUCACACCUGGCUCCAACCCCACAGUCAGUAUGGGUUGGAGCUCCUCAUGGGAGAUGCAGCUUAACAGGAGAAAUGAAAGCAUUCCAAAUGCUCUGGUGAGCAGAAUUCCUGGAAUGCCAUUCUGGAUUGAGGCUGUGCCUCAGCAUCUAACUGAAAAUUCAUGUAUUCCCUUCUCCUUUGGAGCAUCAAUCAGUCAAAGACCAAAAAAAAGCCCAAACCAGUGGGUUUUACUGAGAGAAGUCAGUAUACCCUCCACCACCACAGUGCCCUUUGCUGAGCUGGAGGUGUAAGAAGGGAUGCUGGGAACUGGGAGAGGAAGAGGUGCUUGUUCCACCUACCAGUAAAAUAUGAUAUUUCUAGCAAAGCAGAACAGCGCAGCACAGAAUGCAUCAACUUCGUCAGUGCACAAACAGGCCAUGAUUUAUCUCCUACAACUGCUCUGGGAUUGUUAGGAAAUGCAGUGUCAACACAAGAUGGAUGAAUAGGUGUAUGGUGCAUAAGGCCAGGGAUGUAAUUACUGCGGGCUGCUGAGCACUGAUUAACAGCAGUCUGGAAAACUGUGUCCAGUUUAGGACAUUACAAUCUGGAUAUCCUGUAGGGCACUGCCAAGAAUGAAAAGGAUUUUGAACAAGUUGGCCUUUCUCCAUAGGAAAGAAGUGAGAACUGGCUUUGUCUUGACUGGAGAAGAGAAUACAGAUGAUGUGAUAAGAUUUUGGAUAAGAUUUUGAUAAGGAGGUAUCCCUGCACAUGGGUGUGAACCACGGAUGAGAAAGGUGAUCUCAGUAAUUGUGAUCCGUUGUCUCCAGAGAACAGAGGUUAGCUUGUCCUUCCCAUGAGCCUGAGUUUCUCUGUCUGAACUGAUGGGUUAGCAUCUGGUGGUGGGGCCAACGUGAGCAUCAGAGAGGAGGCUGCAUAUUAUGACACCACUCCCAGCUAUGAUGAUAAAAUCCACAGGAUACCACCUCUAUGGAGGAGCAAAUGAGACCUGACGUGGUCCAGAGGCAAUUUGCCAUGCAACAAUACAAUAGCUGCUGUGUGGGCUGUACAACUCGAGUCAUGUACCCUCCACCCCAGCAGGACGUUAGCUGGUGUUGGUAUGGUGAGGUGUGAGGCAAAGGGUUUCAGAACCAUGAGGUGUGGUUAAGAACCUUUUACAAGAUGGGAAGUCAUGAGAGCAUUGUUGGGAAAUGCUGGUAAAUAGUACUGAGCCAUUCCUUGUGCUGUACCAGCGUCUAUUGUCUUUAGUGAAGAAGUCUAUCUGGGUUUCCCAGACUGAUCCUUUGCAUGGAUUUUGCUGCGCCUGUUUCCAAGGCUUAGAGCUCUUUAGGAGGUCUUGUUAUAAAUAUUCAGAUGUACAGAUUUUUAAUGAAGAGUUCGGUGGAUGCAUUCUAGAGGAUAAAUGGUCUGUGAAUGGAAACUUUUCUUCCUCAGAGUACAUCAACGUAGCAAUUGCUUGUAUGAAAAACUCUCCGAGACUCAAAUAAAGAGCAGCAGGAUGAGCUCCAAGGCCAGUAAGCCACUUGUAAAUACAAGUGGGCAUAGCAGCUUACAGAAGGCAGCCCAGUAUUUGUGCUGUUCUAAAGGCAUUGGGAACCAGCCAGCAGCUGAGCAGCAGCUAUUUGCAGAACUUGAAGAUCUACUCUUCGUUCUGCUUCUCUGCAAUUUGUCUCCAUUCCUAGACACCUGGUUCACACCCCCCAUACUCUGAUGAGCCACUCUUGGGCUACCGUUUCUUACAGCUGGCUGCUUUCAGCUGUUUCAAAUCUGGGCUGGAAUCACCUGGCUUUAAUUUAAGUAGCAAACAAAGGCAGCCUUCCCUAUGGGUGUGCUUUAGUUUCAUUGGGGUUGAGUUCCACAAAGAAGAAGUGCGCUGAGUGUGAUGCUUUAACAAAAGCAGCAUAUGUCCUAACAAGAAAUAAGGUCCUCUGCUGCUUUCUUCAUAUUGCCAUGCUGUCUUCAAAGGGCGCAUGGACAUCCAGGAGAUGGAUGCUCUGCAAAGCACCUAUGCCUGCAGGGAAAGCCGAAGGCGAAGAGCUGUGUCCUGGUGGCUAUUGCUUCUGUAACAACCACUCAGAUGAGGACUUCCCACGUUUUCCUCAGUGCCCCCGUGCUGCAGCUCUUCUUCAGGCUGGAAUGGUUGGGGUUCCUUCUGCAUCCAUCUGAUGUAGUGGCAUCUCAAAGGCUUUGCGCAGGUGAGAUGGGCACCAGGAGCAUGGGGGGCACAGGGGAAGCCAGGACACGAGUCACAAUCUGUACCUACAUGCUGAAUACGUACACAUGCACUGUAAUGCUGUGGUGCAAGAGCUCUGCUCUGAGCUUGGAUUGGAGCCCAGCAGCUUGGCUUCUCCCUAGAAGGAUGGCAAGGACCAGCUUUAAGCCAAGGAAAGAUUCAAAUGGGGAUGCUCAGCCAUCCAGCUGGUGGGCUGGGAGGGGGAAGCUGUGGUCCCUCCUGCUGUCUCCUGGCAGAUUUUAGAUUGGAUAUUAGAGAACAUUUCUUCUCUGAAAGGGCAGUGAUGCAGUGGCACAGAUGCCCAGGGAAUGGGAAGUUCUACAUCCCUGGAGGUGUUCAAGAAGCAUGGAGAUGUGGCACUGAAGGAUAUGGGCAGUGGGCAUGGUGUGGUGGGCUGGGGGUCUUAGAGGUCUUUUCCAAACACAGCAGUUGUAUGAUUCUAUGAUUGCCACGCUCAGAGCACACCACUGGUCCCCAGACACGAUCGCCUGUGCAUGGUCAUUGGGGACAUCUCUCUGUCAUUACUGCCACCUCAGGGAGGUGCUGGAGGGCACACCAUGACCACAAAGACUCAGGCUGCUCUGGAAAAACGUAGGAGCCUUGGUUGUUCCUUUCACAGAAGCUGUGCCAAAACCUGCUUAAAUUUCCCCAGGAGAUUGGUUGCCUCAGUAAAUGACUCAGCCUACGCCUGGGGCUAAUAGCCAAUAUACAGCUAUUAUUAAACUUUCGUGUUAUUUUGAAGGUAAACAGCAUUUUGAUUUGUUGUGGUUUUAAUUUAAAUUAAGGUCCGUAAUUGGAUAGUGCAGAGCAGCCUUCUGUUUCAGGAACAUGAUAGCAGUGAAUCUGUCUCCUCUCACAGAGCAGAGCCUUGCUCUUAUCUGCACUGAAAAAAAAAAAAAAAAAAAAAAAAAAAGAAAUGAUAGUUAUUUUGAAAUAGGUCAUGUGGUAGAAAAAUGUUUUCUGCUUCCUCAGGUGUCCCUUGCUCCCAAGAGGAUGCUAUCAGGGGACAGCAGUGUCCAUGUCAAAUGUACAGACCUGAGGGCCAAAGGGUAAUUAAAAACAUCAUGAAAGUAAUUUGGUCGCUGAACCUGCUGUGGGUCCUGGGCAUCUUAAGGAGCAAAUACCACCAUGGUUUUUUCCCCUCAGGAAUACAAGGCUAACAGGACAACAGCUCAUCUGUGCAAAGCCCUGACUGCUCUCAAUUUGAAAAAAGCCUGUAGCUGAAUCUGCUGCAGUUUUAUAACACAACCACUAUUAAUGUAGCUGUCCAAACAGUUUGUAGGUUAGGGAAAAGAGAAAACUGCAGUACCAGUUCAUUUGUAGGAAGAUCGGAGGAGCAGCACCAGUGCCAUGUCUACAUGCCUUGGAGGGACCUGCUGUGCCAUACAACCAGCACACUUCCUCUACUGAUAUAUAGAGAGUUUAUAUGCAUAUAUAGGUAUGCAUCAGUGUCACAAAGAUUGUAAAAGGAUGGGGGCGUCUAAUGCACUGGUGAUGCAGUGGCACAGCUGCGCUGGAGUGGUGGGGUCACCAUCCCUGGAGGUGUUUCAGAACCAUGGAGAUGUCGCACUGAGGGAUGUGGGCAGCGGGCAUGGUGAGCUGGGCUGGGGUUGGGCUCGGGGGUCUUGGAGAGCUUUUCCUGAAUGAUUCUGUGAGCCUAUGAUCUCUCAUAGAAGGACAGGCUGAGAGAGCUGGCACUGCUCAGCCUGGAGAAGGCUCAGGGGGAUCCCAUCCACAUGUAUAAAUACCUGAUGGGGGCAAUAAGAUGGAACCAUUCUCUUCUCAGUGUUGCCCCAAUGAGGCAACAGGACAGGAAGCAAUGGACAAAGAUGAAAAUAAAACAAAAGUAACAAAAAAAUCCUACAAAAACAAACAAACAAACAAAAAAACAGCAAAAUCAAUCAGGAAAUUCCAUUUAAACAUAAGAAAAUCCUUCUUUAAAUUGCCACCUUGUUUGAACAUGGGAGCAGUUGCACAUUGAGGUGGUGGAUUCUCUGUCCCUGGAGAUGGACAACGCCAGGCUGGAAGCACUGGACAACCUGCUCCAACCAGCCCCGCUCUUUUUGGACCAGACAGUCUCUAGAGCUGCCUCCAGACUCAGUGCAUUUAUUUUAUGUUUCUGUAAUGAUUCUAUAAACUUUGUUUUUCCAAAAACGAUAGUGGGUUUAUCCUGCACAACUUUUAAAUCUGGUAGCUUGUUACAUUUUGUAGCUUCAUUUUGGUCCAUGGGAAGCAUAUUCCUGUGGAUGAAAGAGAUGCAGGGUUUAUUAAUCUGUCCAUUUUACAUUAACUAUCUGGGCAAAAUGAUAGGCAUUUCUUAUUUGAAACUUGUUAUAAAGAAACAUAUGGUCACGUACAUGAAGUGAGAAUAAUUUCAAGUUUGAAAUUCCAUCUAGACGCAGACAUGAAUACCCAAUAGCAACAAAGGAAAUUUGAAAGCAGUUUAGACUAAGCCUGGGGUAUAAUAAUCUGCAAAUGAAAUGCAAAUUCCUCUCAGCAGGAGUGCAAUAUGCUGUUGUCUCAACAGGGGUACUAUUUACUGUUGCUUUGGAAACGUGCAGGAGGGAAGCAUGGGCCAUUGCUUCGACAGAGGGUAAAGGCAGCUUGUACCUUUCUUCUGCUUGAAUUCCAAACCUGGCUUUUGGAAGUGGGCUGUUCACCCUAAUAGGAUGGGUUGUGCAAUAAUUAACAGUAAUUGCAUUCAUAUAAAGUCCUGUGGAAACCUCUGCUCACUCCUGGCCCUUCAUAUCACACAUCAGAACUGCCUUCCUGAUUCCCAACUUAACGCAGUCUUAGAGAUAUCCUCAUUGGGGAGCGAUGCUUAAACACUCCUACAUUCAUUAGAGCUGAACUAUCACUGUACUUCUGACAUCUCUCCAUUGCUGCUGGAUUGCUGGUAAGCAGCUUGACGGCUCUUUCAUCCACAAACAUUCCUCCCUUCAGCUGCUGGUACACAGCACUGUGCCUGGAAACCUUUCACACCUCCAUCUUUAUGGCCACAUAGAAGAAUCGUGUAACUAGAACUGCAAUCUGCAGCCGAUUGCAAUAGAAAAGGAAAUUAGUAUCCUGCAUUUAAUUAAUAUUUGUACUGAGAGAAUUGUUAAAAUCUAGCCAGCUGUUACCAUCCCUUUCAUUACUUUAAAUGUUGAUAACAUUUGUCUCAUACCAAAAAUACUUCAGCAACCAAAGCACUCAUGAAGACCGAUGGUGGAAAUUGAAAGAGAUUGUAUUUAUCACAGCAUCAAAGCUGCAAAUGCAGUGAGUGUGGAUGGGGGCGAGUUCUACUGUGCCAUACAACAGAAUCAGUACCAUUGCUCAGUGCUCCAAUAUUCUCAGAAAGAAAUGACUCCCAUGUUCAGAGAAACCAAACUUGUUUCUAAAGUGACAUAAAUUGUCAUUUCUUAAGUGAUCAGGCAAAAAAGUUAGAAGAAUAGUAACAACAAAAGACUGUCUGGAGAUACACUGUUGUUGUGUUUUAGUGAUUGUUGUUGUCAGUAUUUAACAUUAGAACAUCAUGCAGAACAAUGGCAGUUAAGGUUCUGGUUCCAUGUUACCGCCUUUUUGGGCAUUUUGUGUUCCCGGAGGGGAGGAGCGGCAUCCCCAGCGGACUUGGACAGAAGAGGAAGUAAGAUGGAGCUCUGGACUGGACCCCAGCCGCUCUCUGCCUCUGGCCGUCUUAGCCUGCCGUGGAGAAAAGCACGUGCUUCCCUAGCACUAUCGUGGUUUGACUCGUGCUUUAAAUACUCUCGGCUCUCUCAUUUUGUUUGAUUAAAUUUAGUAAAAUACCAUUCCUCC